UAAAAAUACUUUAUUUCUAUCAAAUUAUAUGUACCCAAAAUUUAUCUACUUAUGAAAUUAUUUGUACAAAUUACGAUAUUUGCGCGUACAAUUUGUAACUGGUUUCAGUGAUGAAAAUUAAAUAAUAAAAUUAUUUUACAUGUGGUGUAAAAAUUUCAUGCCGGUUUGUGGGGCUGAUCUCCCAAUAUUUUUGCAGAUUGCAUAUUCAUAACCUGGAAUGUUCUUUGCAACUGUAUAGGGUUGAAACGAUGCGGUAAUGAUGUUAGUAAUCUGUACUUGAUUAUGAUAAUACCAUUUGGUCAUGCUUUUUAGUCUUCAAGUGCCUAUGUCAUGAUUUGUGUAAUUUAUUAUUUGUAAUCAUUGGUAUAUUUUAUGAAAAAAUGCAAUAUAUCUUUAAAAGAAAAUGUUCCAUCUUCACAGGAUUAUCAGGCCUCAAAGUUAUCGGAUAUGACAUCAAACUGGGAAUUGCAAAUUAGAUUUCUUUUGUUUCUAGCGUAUAAAAUUCCCGAUUUGACGUCAUAUCCGGUAACUUUGAGGGCUGAUAAUCCUAUGAAGAUGGUAUAUUUUCUAAUAAAGAUAUAUUGCAUUUCUUCAUAAA